rnacentral:rRNA from 1 species
GGGCCCGCACAAGCGGCGGAGCAUGCGGAUUAAUUCGAUGCAACGCGAAGAACCUUACCAAGGCUUGACAUAUAGAGGAAAAGUGUAGAAAUACACUCCCCGCAAGGUCUCUAUACAGGUGGUGCAUGGUUGUCGUCAGCUCGUGUCGUGAGAUGUUGGGUUAAGUCCCGCAACGAGCGCAACCCUCGUCCUAUGUUGCCAGCACGUAAUGGUGGGAACUCAUGGGAUACUGCCGGGGUCAACUCGGAGGAAGGUGGGGAUGACGUCAAAUCAUCAUGCCCCUUAUGUCUUGGGCUUCACGCAUGCUACAAUGGCCGGUACAGAGGGCAGCAAUACCGCAAGGUGGAGCGAAUCCCAAAAAGCCGGUCUCAGUUCGGAUUGAGGUCUGCAACUCGACCUCAUGAAGUUGGAGUC